rnacentral:lncRNA from 1 species
GGGUUUGGAUUGGAGAACAGACUUUGUACAUGUAAUCUGAGUUGUAAGUUUUAUUUUCUACUUUUAAAUGAAUUUAUGUGUAUAUUAGUAUAUUUAUUUACAGUACUUGUUUAAUACUUUGUAUGUUGAAUCUUUUUGGUGUGUAAUAAGAUAGAAAUUUGUAUCCAUUUUAAAAUAUUUUUCUUUUCUUAUUUCGAAAAAAAUGUACCUAGCCUUCAAAAUUGGGCUAAACACCACAACCAGAGGUUGUUUGUCAAUCAAAAAGGUUACAACUAUUUGGUUUUCCCCUUUAUUAGAGGGAAUGUGAAUUUAAAACUUUGUGAAUGUGUUAUUUAGAUUGUAAUUCUCUUUAUGACUAAUAUCUUGAGAGUGAAGGGUUGACUUGUUGUGGCUUACCUAGAAUAUAAUAGUACAUUAAGUAAGUUUUUUUCAGUCUGUACAUCUGUCUUGUAAGUUUGUGUGUGUCAAGUAUGUGGUUAAAGUUAUUGUUUGAAAGUACAUGUAGUUCAAUUACUAGGAAGUUGUGGUCACAAUGUUUACAUGUUCAGUAUAAUGUGUACUUUUUAAAAAUAUAUACAUGUAUAUACAAAACCAGAGUUUUGACCAAGAUUUUGCAGUAAACUAAGCUUGACUGGGUUGAUUCUAGUGCACACCAUUUGAAAUAAUUUUUUGGUGUACAAGGCAUCUCUUAUUUAGCCUCACUCUACUUGACUUUGUUAGGAUCUCCCUCUACUAGAAACCUUAGCACCUUUCAUGGUGUUUAAUGCACACAUUUUUCUCUCCCAAUCUUGAAACAACCAGUUUUGAUUUCAUCUACAUAAUAUUGUUAAGGACUCUCAAGUAGUUAGUGAAUUCUCUUCUUGUUUUUCCCAAAUUUGACUUAAAUACACUUAUAAAUGUAAAACACAGUUAUAUUAUAUUUAUUUUCAAGUAAUUAUAUAAUGAUUAAGCAUGUUAAGGGAAACAAAUCAGUAAAGUCAUGAAAGUGUUCCAACAAAAAUAAUUAGUGAUGCACUUAGCAUUAAAAGGAUUUGAACAAAUAUAAUUGGCGUACCAGUUAAAUACAUGCAUUGUAAAGUAGUCUUAAUAGCAGAGGUCAGGAAUUUAAUCAAUUAUAAGUGCAUUAUGCAUUUAUAGAUCACAUUCCAGGAAGUACUAUCUUGUGUAAAACGAAUGUACAUUCUACAAAAAGUGUAUGUGAUAUUUUUUUUUGUUUCUUUAAUAUCUACCUCCUGAGAAGAAUACAAAUAUUAAAACAAUAACACAGUUUAAGCAUGCUACAUUGUGUGUACAUAUCAAAAUUUGUAUUCAAGAAUUUAUUGAUAAUACAUUAAAUAACAAAAAAAAAAAGGGGCUGGGGACCCAUACUUCUGAUAUUUGUGAAAAGGGGGGAAUGAAAAAUUAAGAUACAUUCCAAUGUAAAAGUUUGAAAACAAAAUCUUUGUCACCCAUUUUGGAAUUUGAUUAACAUGAUUAAAACUGGAGCAGAAGUGCUCUAAUAAAAAAGACGAAUUCAGGAGCAAACAUUUGGAAGUAUUUUUUUUUUAGCUCACUGGGCCCUUCCACCUGAAGUGAGCUUUUCUUUAAGUGGUUUAAUCCACUAUUUUCUACAUUUGAAAAUGCCUGUACGAAGUCAGGAAUAUGACAGUUCUUGUCCAUUCGUUUUUGAUGCGUUUUGUUAUUUGAUUUUGCCAUGUGAUUAUGGACUUUCGAAAUUUGAUUUUCCUCUAAGUUCAGUAUUUUUGUGAUUUUACUUUUUUCUCAUGUCAUGUUGUUCGUCAUCUGUGAACUUAUACAAAAAUAUUCUCCUCUGAAACCAAACUUGGCAGAAGUCAUGUAAGUCAUCAUUGAGGCAUUAAGUUUUUAAAAAUGUGUCUGAUGACCCCUCCUGCCAACCAAGGAUGCAGACUUGACCAAGAAAAGAACAUAGGGUGGGGUACAAUACAAUAGUCAUGGACUUUUCUAUUUAAUAUAAAAAAAAAAUGUGCAGGUAUGAUUGUCAAUGAGACAACUUUUCACACAAAAAUUUACAGCUAUAUGUGACAAUUGUCACCACAACGGGCUUCACCAAUGUGCAAAGCCCAUACCAUAUAGUCAGCUAUGAAAGGCCAUAAAAUGACAAAUGUAAAACAAUUCUCAACUAUACAUGUAAAACUGAAAUGUGAAUCAAUGAUUUGUAAUUCAGCACAAAAAUCUCUCAAUCCUGUCCAUCAGUUAUUUCAUUCCUUUUGAUUUUUGAUACUGCCUAUAUCUAAUGAACAUGAUUUUUGAUACUGCCUAUAUCUUAUGAACAUGAUGAAGUUAUUUGAAAUUUAAGUACGACAUGUAUUAAAGUAGUCUAGUAGAUUAUACGGAGAAACAUUAAACAUGUACACGCAGAAACUGUGACAAGUGUACAUAAUUGAUGCUCUUAUAAAAACAGAUAGAAAUAAAUAUUGAUUUGUUUUUAACAAAUACAGAGCUAGAUUACUGACAUUUUAGUACAUAAGCCUACAUUUAUAGAAACCUUUUAAUCCUUACUUAUCAAUAACAAUAUAAUAUGAUAUACAAUGGACACUGGACAUCAACAUGAGCUGUUGAUCUAUGUAAUAAAACCUUGUCAUGAACAGAUGUUGUCAUUAUAAAGGCAUAUUAUUUUAUUUUAUAGGACAAAUCCAGCAGUGAAUUGAACUUGAAGAUUAGAAAGGAAUUGUGAUUCGUCCUUGCAUAGAAGGUUUGUACAUGCACAGAUCUAAAUUUUAAUUGAUUAAAAUAAAUUUUGUUGGAAUACCAGCUGCAUUAAUUAUAUUUUGUAAUUGUUUAAAUUCCAAUGAAUAUUUGAUCAAGCCAUUCAAGGUCACCACUUGAAUAAUAUUGUACAUUUUGAAAGUAACGGAGACUAAAAGACCACUUUCGAAUUUGUCCAUCAAUGAAAAAAAACUCUUCAAUUAUGUGCGCCUUUAUGACUUCAUUUACCAGAUAGAGAGGAUCACCUGUAUCCCUGCACUAUUAACGUUUAUCAAGCGUCUAAGUGAUCAUCAUUGUGCAGGAUAAACUGGAAAUAAUAUUUGUCCUGUAGGUACCUUAUCACAAUUCCCUUACGUUAGCAGUGCUGAAUAUCAAUUAUAUGAAUUUAAUUUGCUGAAUAAUUCGUGCAAUAUAGCAUUAUCAUUUUUUCCUCCAAUCACUCAACAAAAGAACAGAAGUGAUGACGCCCCUAAACGCACAAAUGAUGUUCACUAAAACCAAAGUUGUCUAUUAGGGCAAUAAAAUAAUGCCUUUGUUUCUACUACAUGCUGAAAAAAUAAAUGACUCAAGUUGUAGCAAUGAUCGCAUGUUCAUGUACUGUUGAAAGGUGUGAAAAGUAGCUAGUUUUUGAAAAAAAAAAAUGAUAAAAAUUCAAUAGAUUCCUUAUCAGUAGACUUAUACAAUAGUCCUUAUUAUCUUUUACUGAAUUAAAUAUAUAUAUAUAUAUAAUUUAAUUUUCGAUGUAACGCGUCUUCCGAUUGGCUGACGUUAUUUUGUUAUCAGACCAUAGACAUAAUUUAGUCAUGUGACCGUGACGUCAUCAACGUUUUUUCAAGGUUUGCUAUGGUUUAUAAUGGAAUUUAGAAUUAAAAUAUAAGAAAUGACUGUAAUAUUUUUUCUGUCUAUUCGAAAUAACAUAAAAAAUGUGGUGCACACUGUUAAAUAACCCGCUACGCGCGUUAUUCAGUGUGCACCACAUUUUUUAUGUUAUUUCUUCAUAGACAGAAAAAAUAUUACAGUCUUUCUUUAAAUAUGUGAAAUAUAAUAUCAGAGUCCAGUUAUGUAAAGAUUGCACAUAGAUAAUUAGCACACAUGAAUUUCAUUCCUCAUUUUAACCAUGAGUUAUAACAGUCAUGACAGUGGAUUUUCUUUGUAUUAUACUCCUCUUGUAUAAUACAGAAUGUACAUGUUUAUGUGACACAUUUUAUUAGGUGUAUAUAUCUAACAUAUCCUAUACUGAUAUUUUGUAUUUCUAUCUCACAGAAAUAAACAAAAUGAAUGUCUAUCGCCAGCCAGCGCAGUGGGAAGACAAACGCACAAAAGAUUUACGGAAUCAAGUUACACUACUGAAUACACAUCUUGGUGUACAAAGGUCAAAGUUGUCAUCAACGAUACCAGAACUCGUGCAAUACUGUGAGAAGCACGCUGUACAGGAUCCUUUCCUAUUUCCUAUUAGAGACAAUCCUUUUAAACCAAUAAGACGACCGUGUUGUAUUAUAUAGAAGAUAACUGGAUCAAAACAUGUGUGAAUGUGAUAAAUAUGUGGUAAUUAUACAAUAUUUAGUACACAGUUACAAGGAGUAGUGGAUUUAGAUAUUAGAAGAUGUGGCAUGACUGCCAAUGAGAAAACUCUCCAUCUAAGUCACAAUUAUUAAAAAGUAAACUUCUAUAGGUCCAACUACAGCCUUGAACAUAGAGGAACCUAAUAGUCCAGUCAAACUAAGAUUUAACCUCAAACUAAUUGCAACAGAAAAUGUUUUAGUUCUAAACUAUAGCAUUAUGCCUUUAAUAUAACAGAAAAAAAGUCCAUAAAAUCAUUACUUGAGGAAAAUCAAAUCAGCAUUUUAUCUUAUGGAGAUUAACAUUGGAAGGGGAGAUAACUUGCAAAAAUGAUCUUUUUUGGUCAGUUGGUUGUUUUCUCAAAUUUUUGUAAAGUAUGAUACUUUGAUGGGGUUAUAAGUUUUUAUUUGACUAAAUUAUAUAAUCUUCUGCUCAUGAAAUGUACAAAACCGAAGUGUUAUGGGUAGUUUUAUUUUUUUCAUGCAUUUUUGUCGAGCCUGCAACUUUUGUUGCAGAAAGCUCGACAUAGGGAUAGUGAUCCGGCAGCGGCGGCGGCUACGGCGGUGGCGUUAGCUAACUUCUUAAAAGGUUUAUAUUUAAGAAGGUGAAAGACCUGGAUGCUUCAUACUUUGUAUAUAGAUGCCUCAUGUUACGAAGUUUCCAUCAGUCACAUGUCCAAUGUCCUUGACCUCAUUUUCAUGGUUCAGUGACCACUUGAAAAAAAAAGUUCAGAAUUUUUGUAAUGUUGAAUUCUCUCUUAUUAUAAGUAAUAGGAAAAAUAUAUUUGGUAUGUGCGUACCUUGGCAAGGUCCUCUGCCGUCAGGACAGUUUUCACUUGACCUGACCUCAUUUCAUGGAUCAGUGAAACAAGGUAAGUUUUGGGUGGUCAAGUCCAUAUCUCAGAUUACUAUCAGCAAUAGGGCUAGUAUAUUUGGUGUAUGGAAGGACUGGAGGUGUACAUGUCCAACUGGCAGGUGUCAUCUGACCUUGACUCCUCAUUUUCAUGGUUCAGUGGUUAUAGUUAAGUUUUUUGUGUUUUGGUCUGUUUUUUCUCAUACUUUAUGCAAUAGGUUUACUAUAUUUGUUUGUAUGGAAUGAUUGUAGAGGUGUACAUGUCUAGCGGGCAGAUGUCAUCUGACCUUGACCUCAUUUUCAUGGUUCAGUGAUGAAAGUUAAGUUUUUAAGUUUUGGUCUUUUUAUCUAAUAUUAUAUAUGCCAAAGGUCAACUAUAUUUGGUGUAUGGGAAUAUAUUAUGAUUUAUAUGUCAGUCCCGCAGGUUUUAUUUGACCAUGACCUCAAUUGCACGGUUCAUUGCACAGUGUUAAGUUUUUGUGUUUUGGUCUAUUUUUCUUAAACUAUAAGUAUAGGUCAACUAUAUAUUUGUUGUAUGGAAGCUUGUUAGCUGUACAUGUCUGCCUGGCAUGGUUCAUCUGACCUUGACCUCAUUUUCAUGGUUCAUUGGUCUUUGUUUAGCUACUUGGUUAAUGUUAAGUUUAUGGACAGUUGUAAUAAAGCUUAAUACUUAGGACUAUCAACAUCAAUAUCAAUGAUUAGUAAAGAAGGCGAGACAUUUCAGUGUAUGCACUCUUGUUGAUUAAAGAAGUUGCAAAUUUGAAGCUUUGUAACCAUUUUGAAAAAAUAAUGUAAAAAUUUGAUAUUGUUUAUAUUGUAUAUUAUAUUUUUCAGCACUUACUUAUCAAACUUAAACCACAAAAAGAAGAAAUACAUGCUUAUUAUUUUUUAUUAAAUGAGAUUCUUUACCUUGACAUGUUGAAAAAUUCAAUAAAGGUCAACUAAUGAAUUACGAAAUAUAGAUUAUAGCUUGGUAAAAAUAUAUGAAACACCUUUAGAGUUGUUUGUUAUACUUUAAAGGCCGCUAAAAAUCAAGAAUCAAUACAUUCUGAUGAAUAGUAGCGGUAAAGUUAUAAUUUUGUAUCAAUUUUUGUUGAUAGUCUGCCUUUUUUGCAAGAGUUAUCUCCCUUUUCAAUGCAAAUCUCCAUAGGAAUUUUAAAUGGUAAUUUUUUUAGUCUUCCUCAAGUUAGAUUUUAUGGGACUUUUUUCUGUGUAUAUUUGGGGUAUAAUGCUAAAGGUUAAAACUUAAAAAUCUUCUGUUGCAAUAACUUUCGGGUUAGGGUCAAAUUUAUGCUAGAUUGACUGAACUAUAAGCUCACACCAAACAGCAAGCUAUAAACUUAAAAGAGCCCUAAAAAUUACAUGUUGUGUAAAACAAUGUUUUACAGGAAAACAAACGGUCUAAUCUUUAUAAAAAAAACAAUGAGAAACUCAUGAAUCACAUCAACAAACGACAACCAAUGAACAAGAGGUAGAGAGAGGAACAUGAAUCUGUCUGUUCUGUUUACAGUUUAACAGACAAAGAGAAAUAAAUGCAUUAUCCAACGUUACCAAUAUUCAAUGUUUAUAGCUUUCUUGACCAUGUUUACCAUUCAGUGCUCUCAACCACUUAGAUUAAUGAUAGGAAAAGAUAUUUGAUGUAUCUUACUGGAUCAGUAAGUUUCCAAUGAUAUGCUCAUAUAAAUAGUUUUGUUCUUUUUGACAUUUACCUUUCUAAAGCUACAUGUAUGCCCUUACCAAACCAACUUUACCGUGCGUAUUGUUGUGCGUUUUUUUUUUCUACAUUGGCUAGAGGUAUAGGGGUCUAAGGGUUGAGAUCUCAAAAAACAUGUUUAACCCGGCCGAAUUUAUGCGUCUGUCCCAAGUCAGGAGCUUCUGGCCUUUGUUAGUCUUGUAUGAUUUUUAAUUUUAGUUUCUUGAGUGUAAUUCGGAAUUUAGCAUAACAUCCAUUUUCACUGAACUAGUAUUCAUAUUUGUUUAGGGGCCAGCUGAAGGACGCCUCUGGGUGCGGGAGUUUCUCGCUGCAUCGAAGACCCAUUGGUGGCCUUCUGCUGUUGUCUGCUCUUUGGCUGGAUUGUUGUCUCUUUGACACAUACCCCAUUUCCAUUCUCAAUUUUAUGAAAAUUAGUGUUUAUUUCCUUUCUUGAUGAUUAUUUAAAAAAGUUCUACUUUGCCAAUUCAAAAGACAUUUGUAAUACAUUGCUUUGAAACAUUGCUUUGAAACAGGUAAUUUUAAUUUGCGAUAAAAGAUUUUUUUCUGCUGGCAAGAGUAGAUGUGAUCAUGCCACUUGAUUGCAUGCAUGUUUCUAGAUUCUGUUGAUAAAUUCCAAUGUCUAAUGAAAUACAAUCUUAUUAUUUAUAAUGAGGUAAAUAUUGACAUGCCUAUUUUUUUUUUUUUCAGAUUCAACAAAUGAUAGAAGUAACUGUAAUACAUAUAUUUUCCACGAAGAAGAAAUUCUGUUGUUGUAGCUGUUAAAAUAGUAAAUGGUCAGUGGAGCUGUUCAAGAUGUUUAUUGUCAGUGGCUUAUAUAUGAUGCUAUUAAUUGCCUUCAAAACUCUGUCAAAAUUACUAUAGUGCCAUUGCUAAAUAGAAAACCAAGAAAAUCUUUUGAAUUUUUUUUAAACUAAAAAAAAUAUUAUAAAAAAAAUUAUAUAUAUUCAUUGCUUAAUAAAUCAUGCCAAACUAGAUAUUUGCUUGUGUGCCUUUAAGUGUGGGUGCUAAUAUAGACAUAUUCAAGAUCUUUAUUGUAUU